GCUUUGCUCUGGUGUGCAAUGGUUAUGAGUGUAGGCCUGGAUGCUGAAAUAUGGCCUCUAACUGAUGUGAGAGAAAGUUAACAAGAGGCUAUGAAUAUUUUAUCAAGGCCUAUCAAAAGAUGCCAAGGAUUAAACCCGGACCUCUAAUAUGUGCC